GAAAAUCCGUCGAAUUUUUAAAUCGUGAGGGUUCAAGU
rnacentral:tRNA from 1 species